rnacentral:rRNA from 1 species
GACGAACGCUGGCGGCGUGCCUAAUACAUGCAAGUCGAGCGAAGUUUUUCUGGUGCUUGCACUAGAAAAACUUAGCGGCGAACGGGUGAGUAACACGUAAAGAACCUGCCUCAUAGACUGGGACAACUAUUGGAAACGAUAGCUAAUACCGGAUAACAGCAUUAACUGCAUGGUUGAUGUUUAAAAGUUGGCUUUGCUAACACUAUGAGAUGGCUUUGCGGUGCAUUAGCUAGUUGGUGGGGUAAAGGCCUACCAAGGCGACGAUGCAUAGCCGACCUGAGAGGGUGAUCGGCCACACUGGGACUGAGACACGGCCCAGACUCCUACGGGAGGCAGCAGUAGGGAAUCUUCCGCAAUGGGCGAAAGCCUGACGGAGCAACGCCGCGUGAGUGAAGAAGGAUUUCGGUUCGUAAAGCUCUGUUGUUAGGGAAGAAUGAUUGUGUAGUAACUAUACACAGUAGAGACGGUACCUAACCAGAAAGCCACGGCUAACUACGUG